UCUACUUUAGAUUUGUAAAUAUUGGAGGAGAAUUGCCGGAGUGGUUAACGGAACAGUUUGCUAAACUGUCGGUAAAAAAAUACUGCGUGGGUUCGAAUCCCACAUUCUCCGC
rnacentral:tRNA from 1 species